ACCAAACACUAAGGUAGGCUGCUGAUUUCAAGGUUAAAUACAUGGUUUCCUACCUUAAUAAAACUUAAGAACACAAACUAAAACUUAGGAGAGAUUGUUGUUGGAAGUAAGCAAAGGAGGAAGCUUGAGAUUUAAAGCAUCAAGAGUUGGAAAAUCUUCAUUGGAAAAGAGAAACUAUUUCAGAUGAAUUAGCAUAUGGUUCUGAAAAUGCUUAGAAGAUGAGAG
rnacentral:sRNA from 1 species